rnacentral:tRNA from 1 species
AGGGUAAUAGCUCAGUGAUAGAGGGUGUGCUUAGCAUGCACAAGGCCUUGGGUUCAAUCCCAGGUACCUCUG